CCCAGCAAUUCCACCCCUAAGUAAUGAGAUAGAAAGAGAAAGGAAGACAUGUUCACACACAGACUUAUACACAAAUGUUCAUAACAGCAUCAUUCAUAAUAGGCAGAGUGUGGAAACAAACAAAUGUCUCUCCACUGGUGAACGGACACAUGCAUGUGGUGUGUCUGUCCUUACGGCGAAACAUUAUUUAGCAGUCAAGAGGAAUGAAGUACUGAUUCAGUUAUAACAUGAAUGAACUCGAAACUUUAUGCUGUGUGAAGAAAGCCAGACAGAAAAGGCCACAUAUUCCGUGAUUCCAUUUUUUUUUUCAUGGCACGGCCAGAAUAGGCAAAUCUAUAGAGACAGAAAGCAGAUCAGCGGUUGUCUAGGGUUGGGGGGUGGCAAGGAGGAAAUGAAGAAUGACUGCUGAUGGAUUUUUGAUCGACAAAAAUGCUCCAAAAUUGAUGGUGGCGAUGGUUAUACAACUCUGCCAGCACACUAAAAACCCGUGAAUUGUGCACUUGGAACGAGGUGUCUGUGUGUGAAUUACAUCUCCAUAAAGCUGUUAUAAAGACCACUUGGAGGGUGACUGGCAUGUGAUCUUCAUGGCGUAAGCGUUAGCUCUGAUGAUGACGGGGGCAGUGGGGUGGUGGUGGUUGCCCGUAACUGUUCGAAACACGCAGCGUGCCUUACUGUGAAGCAUUCUGUUGUAUAGGAUCUCCUCUAUCGAAGAUCUAGGUCACUAGUGGAUUAUGAAAAUGCUAACAAAGCACUGGAUAAAGCAAGAGCGAAAAAUAAAGAUGUUCUUCAGGCUGAGACAUCCCAACAAUUAUGUUGUCAGAAAUUUGAAAAAAUAUCUGAAUCUGCAAAACAAGAACUUAUAGAUUUUAAGACGAGAAGAGUUGCCGCAUUCAGAAAAAAUUUAGUGGAACUGGCAGAGUUAGAACUGAAGCAUGCAAAGGGUAACCUACAGUUGCUGCAGAACUGCUUGGCAGUGUUAAAUGGAGACACAUAAGCCACACUCCGCCUUUGGUUAAAAAGGGCUGCCUUCCUUCAGAUUUUAUUUUUGUUUUCUUAAUGAGAUUAGGCAUUUACUGCUCACUGGAAACAAAAGAAACAGCUGACCAAGUGCAUCUACUCUCCUUUUUUUCUGAGAAGCGAUGGAGCGGUGCCGUCCACGGGUUUUGCGGGUCCGUCCGUCCGUGUGGUGGAACGCUGCCCUCCUGCAGCUCCCCGUGUGCUCCCUGGGACGGUUGUCCAUCACCGUGCGCUCCUCCUCUUCCGAAGCCCAGCGUUCAGUCCUUUUUUAAGUAGCCUCUGUAACUGUCUUUAUUUUCUGAAUAGCGUUCCUUAUGGCUGCCAAUCUUAUUUCCCUUUAAGUAAUUUCUGAUGUUUAACCCUUUCAAAGAUGCAUUGUUCAGACAAGAUAAAGGUUGCCAUUACCUUUUGUUUUCUUUUGGUGUUUUUGUUAUGUUUUGUUUUGUUUUUUUAAAAACAUUGUAUGCCACCUUAGUUCAUCCAUGUAUCCUGGUAAAAGCAUCUUAAUCAGACUUAUUUUUAAUUAAUGAACAUUUCUUAGAAGUUUUGGGACAGACUUUAUGUAAUCUUUAUAAGUAUGAUUUCUGAUGAAAAGCGACUGCAUUAGUAUGUUUGCCUUAAACUUGUAGACUAAACCGACUAUUGUCAAAUAAACCGUGGUAACAGUGA